rnacentral:lncRNA from 1 species
GCCGGUUCACUGGUUUUGACCGGUUUUUGACCGGUUUUGAUACUUGGCCGGUUCAACACCUGUACCGUACCGGUUAGGGGGCCGGUUCACUGGUUUUCCGGUUGAACCGGCCGGUACAGUACGGUUUUUAUAACUAUGGUUCAACCUAUACAUCGGUCAACAUUUUGGAAAGAGAAAAAAAAAUAUGUACCAAAAGUAAACAAGUUUUAUAUAUUGUCAGUUCAUAUUUAAUCUUCAUUGAUUUUUUUUGAAAAAUAAUUUAAAUAAAUGGUGAAUAAUUUAGUGUGUCUACCAAUCUUUAUGAUAUUACCAUCUUUUGAAAAUCUCCAUUGAAUUCUUUAAAUUGACAGCCAAAAUUGACAAUUGUUUUCUCUAUAUUCACUUAACCUUUCAACUUGUUGAACAUUAACCAAUAAAAUAUUGGUCUAAUAAUAUAAGACAUCGUUAGAUUCUCAUGAUAAUCAAAAGGUCAAAGUUUUAAAUCCUAUGAGCGACACUUGUUGGAAGAGACAACCACCGUACUAAAAAGAAUUAAUUUCUUACCUAAAUGAUGAAGAAUAGCUGGUAAUACAUAACAAAACUAGUUGAGCAUUAUGAACGCACUUUCCCAUCAAAAGGUGGAAGUUGAUGAAUGAUUCAAAGUCUAUACUAGUUUUUUUGUCUUUUUUGUUUGUUUUUUUUUGGGUUCUGUGUCGUUUUCACUUAGAAUUUUUUGUUUUAUUCGUAUAAAGUUUUCACUAGAUGGUGCCACCACCAAAUGUUAUACUCUCUUCUCACAAACAUAGAAAAUAGUUGAAAAAUAAGAGAAAACUUUUUAAUGUUCAAUAAUCACUAUUACACACUUUACAACUCCUUAAUCAUAUAUUUCAUAGCAAUUAUAAUUCAUAUAUUUUAUAAUUUGGAUUUUUUUUUAACGAUGAGUACAAAUAAGGGAGAUAGAGAUUGAUUUAAAAAAUGAAGUGUAACAAUAUUAAUUGAAGUCACUUUUUUUCUCUCUUUCUCAAUACUCAAUUAUAAUUAUAGUGUGCAAUUUUCAAUACGUCUCAUUUACUAUUAUAAUUAAAAUAAUUAAUAUUUGGACAUUUAAAUCCUAAUUAAUGGUCUCUUAAAAGUAAAACUCCAUAAAUAUCUUACAUUUUCUCAUUUAAAGGAGAAAAUAAAAUUUGUCACUGGGAUUGAUUUGGUGAAGCAAAUGACCCUUCAAUGAUAAUUUUGAAUGCAGAGUAGAUGCUAGAAUGUAUGCCUUCAUUAUAGAAAAUCGUAUCUAUACUAAUCUUUUUGGUAUUAUUAAGGGUAUCUCUUGAUCUUGAAGGUCCAAUGAAACCUUCACUAUUAAACCAACGUUUUGUUGGUGUUUCUAUACUAAUCUAUUAAAAUAAAAAUAUUGAUUGCUCUUCUAAAAAAGUAUUGAUUGCUAUAAAGCUGGAUGAAUUCUUGACACCAACUUUUCCUAUACAAACAAAAAUUUGAACGAAAGCAAGUUAUAUUAUUUCUCUAUAAAGGACAAAUAUAAAAGUAAUUGUCGCCUGAGAAUAUAUUUCAUAAUAAACUAAUUUAUACGGGCUGAUUUUUGAGCAAGAAUUGCAUAAUAUAUAAGAUAACAAUGAGAUAGGACUCCAACCUUGCGAAAUAUAACAAAUUUAAUAUGAUAUUUAAGUUAUGAGAUUCUCUAAUUUAAUAGACAAUUUUUCUGAGUUGAGUUUUUCUCAUGUGCUUAAGUCCUAUCAAUUAGGGUUUACAUUGAGAGUUAUGUCACGGAAAGAACUACAUAUAGAUUGAUUAAGGUAUAUUAAUGAAUACUAAUAGGUGAAUGAAGUUGUCGAAAGAGAAAUGACUACCAUUAAUAAAAUUAGUGUUAAUAGAGUGAAAGUCAUCGUGAACGUUGACCCUUAAUGGAAACUUCAAUGUUAGGAGUUCCACAUUAAGUAGCAUAACAAUGGUACUUAAGUCAUGAAACUUUCUCACCUAAUAAUCUAAUAUUUUGGAUCAGACCCUCUUCAUAUGUUUAAGUCAUAUCAC